AUCUAUGUGUAAUACCCAGGUUGACCCAGGGUUAUAUUCAGAGGUCGCAGCUUCUUUAGAGCUCCCAUUUUUCGAUAUUUGGUCAGUUGUUGGGCAUUCCGCAAUGAAGUCGGCCAAAAUUUGGGCUUUCAAAGUAGAUCACGGUCGGUACUGGAUGUCGAACUCGCUCAGCUUCACCGCCCAUUUCGUCAGUCAUCUUGAUGUGUCGGGGCGAUGCAGGAUCGCCCUCAGGGGU
rnacentral:lncRNA from 1 species